UAAAUAAGAAAUAACAUAUAUAUAUAUGUUAUUUGAGAGCUACCUGUUCUCAUUAUGUGUUAUUUCCUAACCAGUAUUUUACCAAGAACUGUCAGUAUGGUGGGAGGGGUGGUAUAAUGGCAGCAAAUUGGAAAAGAAACUACAACAAUUGGACCUCCUAUGCAAAAUUUUACCUAGCCAGAAGGUAAUUACUUUUGAAAAAUAGCAAUGGACAGUCAUUUUCAUUCUUUUGCAGAGAGAAGAAAUUCUGUGUAUUAGUCUGUCAAAUUACUUAGGGAAAAGUGAAAAUGUUUUUCUAAUCUGAGACCACCACUUGUACUGUGAAACAAACUGGAUAACUAGUGAGGGUGAGGUUUAUUGACUAUAAUGCAGAAAGUGUUAAAGAUUUUGGUUAAAAUCUUUUAAAGGGAUGGAUUCUUAACUAGGAAGAUGCCACCAAAUCACUGUGAAGCUUUAAAAUGCAGAUGCCUCUGCCCCCUCCUUGCAGGUCCCCGGGACAGCCAGGAGCAGGGCGGUGGCAGAUGUAUUUUCAGGGGUCCCCAGGAGAUUCUGAUGCACAUACUUCUGCCCUCCCAGUCACUGCCCUCAAGUGGACAUUCAGACCAUUUUGAGAGCUGACCGAUUCUUCCUGCUGAUGCAGUGGGUCUGCGUGGGGCCCAAGAGUCUGCAUUUCUGAUGCCUGUGCUGCUGGUUCAAAGGAUGCAUGCACUGAGGGGCUCUGCUCCAGCGCACUAAGUGUGGUGUGCAUUUAAGUCUAGUGCUCAGAUAGUAUACACUCUCUCUCUAUGAAAAAGAUAACUGAAGCCAAGUUCUUAACAUGGAAUUUGUUUCUUUUCUUUUUUUUUGCUUUUUUCAGGGCCACACUCACAGCAUAUGGAUUAGACCCCAGGCAAGGGGUCUAAUCUGAGCUACAGCUGCCAACCUAUACCACAGCUCAUGGCAACGCUGGAUCCUUAACCCACUGAGCGAGGCCAGGGAUUGAACCCACAAACCUCAUGGUUCCUAGUCGGAUUCGUUUCCACUGUGCCACAACGGGAACUCCUAUUUCAUCUAUUUUUGUUACAUGUAACUUGUAUAGGAUGUUUAUGAGAACAAAAACACAGAACUUUUAAACAACUUUUCUGAAAAUACGUAACUAGAAUACUGCUAAAUUCUAAAUUAGAUUUUUUAAUGUACUUGUUAAGUAAAACCUAGCAACCAGUUUUCAUUUAUAAAAAAUUAGCUAUGAGAUGGAUAUCUGUUCUCUAUUAUUAGGUGUCUUAUGAUAGGACUAACCCCAUCCUUUGCCUCUUCUUUCUCUAAAUUAGCCUCUAGAGAAGAGAGAUUCUGCAUUCUCCUUUGCAAAGGAGUUGCUAAUGAAUUAAGAGCAAAGCAUAAUAACUAUUAAGGGGUGUGGAGCAUUAUUUACUCUCAGAUAACUGAGAAAGCCCAAAGCGGAUAGUAGGGGAGCUGGAAAAGUCUUGCCUUAGAAAAUAUACUGCAUCCGAAUGUGCCUGUUGCUUUUCUCAAGCCCAUUCAGUAUCCCUCAAAAAUAACAUUUUCAAACUUACAACAGCUCCAGGGUUCUGCCGAGUUCACUGAAAUAGAAUCAGCUCGGUUGUGCAUACAUUAACACUUGAGAACAUUAAUAUGAAGCUUGAAUCUCUCUAUCAGAAUUCCAUUUAACAGGACCAUCCUAAAGAAAAGCACCGAGAUCGUAUUUCUACCCAAGACAGGUACAGGCAGAGAUAUUCAUUAUCUACCUUGGCUCUCAACCAAUUUAUGAUUUGCAUUCUGAUGUAUAUCUAAAUGUUAAAUCCUCCACAGACAAGCUAAAUAAAGUAACCUACGUAAUAUUUAAAAUAUUCAAGAUAAUUUGACUACAGAAAACAUACCUCUCAUCUAAAAUCAAGAUGUUUUAAUAUAAGCAGAGAAAAAGCUCCAUACUUCAUUCAAAAUUUUAUAAAUUAGGACAUGUCCUAAUUCCCUUAAUCCUUGCCAGGAGUUAUUCAGAUAAACCAGUGACUGGACUUUAUUUUCCUUACUUAGAUAAGGAAAAAAGUGUCUCUCAGAAAAGUCAGGGUCUGGAAAUGUAUGCACAGUUGUAUAAAAUACACAAAUUAAGUCAAACGACUUGGAUGCUUUGUAUCUGUGUAACAGCUUUUUGCCAAUAAACUGACUCUUUCAUAUGGCUAUUUAAUGAAUCUUGUUUUUCCCAAAAUAAAAACUUACCUGCCCCCUUUGCUCUUUGGGAACUUACUCCUAUGUUCUGCAAACUUUUAAGUUUUAAGAGGAAGCGGAAAUUUAUAUAUUCCUCAGUUUUCAUUAUGUCCUCUUUUGUUCUAGGAAAACUGUCCCCCUCUUAUUUUCCUAAUUAUAAGUGUAUAUUCUAGCAGAUAGUUGGUUCCAACACAGUCAAUGAAUUAUCACUAACAUGGUAGGUAUGUUCAGUUAGCGAAUAAUGAUAAACUAAAUUUUAUACAGCACCUACUCUGUGCUGGGCACUGUUCUAAGCAUCUUACAUGUGUCAGCAUAUUUAAUCCUCAACAUCACUUUCUGUCACUGUGCCUCUUUACAGAGGACACAAAUGCACAGAGAGGUUAAAAGAUUCACCCAAGUUCUCUGCUGAUGAGAAACAGAGCUGUGUCCCCUCUCAGAGCUUCUUGGGGAAGAAGGGCCUCUGUGACAGGUGAUUUUAUCUGGAUCUUAAAUACCUUAUCUUCAAGAAUUGUUUUUUCAGAUGAAAAAAUUUUACCCAUUCUUAUAAGGUUAAUCUUCAGUCCUUUUGAAUGCACUUUACCAAUUCAUUUGAUUUUUACGUUAUUCCCACUUAUAACUGAAACACAAUAUAAACCUAUGUGUCAGUCUUAAGCAUUUUAAGUACCGGAUGUAAACACAAAAGAUUUGAUUUUGAAUCUGAUAAAUCACACCAAAAUUUCCAGCUCACUAAAAUCUUUUGAUAUGGUAAAUCUUCACCAAACCACCAACUGUGAUCGCUCUGUGAAAAUUAGUUUCAAUAGUGCCUUGGCACUUUGUAUCUUGACAGAGGCCAAUGUCAAUAUAAAUUGAAUUGUAAAAUACAUUUUAAAUGAUGUCUAUUGUGUUAUGUGCAUAUCUAUAACUUCUUCCAUUAAAAAGAAUGGAAGGUAGGAGUUCCCUUCAUGGCUCAGUGGUUAACAAGCCCAAUUAGGAUCUAUGAGAAUCUGGGUUAGAUCCCUGGCCCUGCUCAGUGGGUUAAGAAUCCAGCUCUGCCAUAAGCUGUGGUGUAGAUCACAGACUUGGCUCAGAUCCAGAGUUGCUGUGGCUGUGGUGUAGGAUGGCAGCUACAGCUCCAAUUCGACCCCUAGCCUGGGAACUUCCAUAUGCCGUGAGUGCAGCCCUAAAAAGCAAACAAAACAAAACAAAAAGGAACAGAAGGUAGUCAUAGAAAAUGUGUAGAAUAAAGAAUUUCUGAGACCUAUUUUAGCUAAAUAUUUGACAAAGUAAAAUUUCUGCCUAAUACUGCCUGUACUUGGCCUAAUGAUCUUGAAAAUUACUGAAAUUCAAACCAUGUUUUUGCAAUUGGUACUGUGUUUCCUUUGAUAACAUCCCAAACAUUCACUAUUAUCUUGAAGGAAGCCAUGCAUAGCAAAAGUCAUUGCUAAGCCCUUCUCACCUUUGUAAUUAAGAUAAAGAGAUGGAGUAAGUAGUCUUGUGGUAAUAGUUUAUGGGAAUAAUCGUUUAAGGGGAAUGCAUUGUAUAGAGUGCAUUAUGGGAGACUGACUCCUCCAGAUGGUUCUAGGAGUCAGUCUAAAAACUUCCUAAUGAGCUGAACCAUUUUUUUCUCAUUUGUGAUAUAUAAAUUCUAAAGAGAUGUGUAUUUUUUUAAUUAAAGUAUAGUUUAUUUACAAUGUUGUGUUACGUUUCUGGUGUACAGCACAGUGAUUAAGUCAUUCAUAUAUAUGUAUAUACACACACUCACACAUAUAUAUUCUUAUACCCACAUACUCUUUUUCAGAUUCUUUUCCUUUAUAGGCUAUUAAAAAUAUUGGGUAUAGUUAGUUACCUGUGCUAUACAGCAGGUCCUUGUUGGUUAUGUAUUUUAUAUACAGUAGUGUGUAUAUGUUAAUC
rnacentral:lncRNA from 1 species